UUAUAUAUAACGUGAAGUUUUUUGCUUAAAAAAAAACAUUAAUUCUUAUUAUUUCUCAACGUAAUAUACUAAUAUAAUAUAUAUUGCAACCUAUGAUAUAACAUAUUAUAUAAAAUGUUAUUGAAAGUUUGAUACAUGCUAAUACUUUUAGUAAAACUUUGGUUACGAUUAAAAAUUGAUUAUUGUUAACAUUUUAUUUAUCAAAAAGGUUAACGCGUAUCGACAGGUUUGUUUAGGUUAGAUAUAGUAAUUAUUAGGUUUAGCAGAUAUAUAUAGCUAUAUAGGUCACUUUGACAAGAAUUUUUAGACACUAUCUCUAGAUAUAUAAAUAAUUUGUGUGUUUUUAUAGUUCCCAAGUCUACUAUUUGAAAAGGCUUAUUCUAAAAUUUAAAAUAAAAUUUACUCGACUGCUGUAUAUUAUUAAGAGAGAAACGGUCGAUCGCGGCUCCUCAGCGACCCUCGAUCACCAUGGCAACGCAUCGAUUGUGUCCGGGCGUUGAAACUAUUCCAAAUUACCUGUGGGGGACCUGAAAUAAUUAUUUUUUAUUAUUGUUUUACUCGGUUUACCGUCCACAUGCAGUACAAAAUUUAUAAGCUUUAGUUAAUCUCACAGUCACAGCUGACACAUGAAAGCAUACGUGGAUAAAUGAAUAAAAACGCAAUAAUAAUAAAAUAUAUGAAGCUCGAAAAUCUAAGUACAAUUAAAUACAAACAAUACAAAUUGUCAGCCACACAAAUUUCGACACGCGUUUGUGAUAAUUUACAUCGUAUCGUUCAACAAGCUUUCGCAAAUCAUCAUGUAUUGGAUAGGUAUGACAAAAGACAAAUUGUAAAAUAGAUGUUCACAUUGACCGGCGCGCGGCGUUGGCACAAUAUGCUCGAUGUCAAAUGACGGCGAAGCGGAGCGGUAUUUUAUGGGCGACCACCCGCGUGCGUCGCAUGACCGUAUAUAGUGACAAAAAUCGGUUUUUACGAGAAGCACGCGCCCGACUCCACCACGUUCAGAGUGAGUGAGAGAGUGGAGGGGUGAAAACAUAUUGUGCAAAUCGACAAUGCACGCGCCCGCGUGUGUGUAAAUAUAAUAUACAAUAAUAAUAAUAACAAUAAUAUGUAUAUGUAUAAUAAUAAACGAUAUAUUUACUGGAUCACGUGCUCGGCCACUUAACCGACCGAGUGUAUCAGUUUCACCGAUUUUCACACGGUGUCGGUACGCCGUUCCCCUCUCACCGUGGCGUCACGACUACCCGCGGGGUGGCGGAUUUUUUUCCCGUGUUUCCACCGUAUAUAUACGUUCUCCCUCGCACGCCGGUAGACCUUGACGGCACGCUGCCCCCGCUGCAGCAGUUGACUCUCGAUCGCCACCAACAAUGCGCAGAUAAUUGGACGGAAUGAUAAUGUAGAUUAUAAUAUAUUAUAAUAAAAUAUAAGAACAUUUUUUUUUUCAAUACGUCAAAAUCGUACACCCGAUGAACACGUACACACUUCACAUGCAUCACGCUCAUACGAUUUUAUGCGUGUACAACGGCAAAAACUACCAUAAAACCGUGAUAUAUAUUAUAAUACAGGCUAACACGCCGUGUUAAGUUACUUUUAAAUUAACAUACUAGAAAACAUGAAAAAUUAAUAGAUGAGUCAAGAGUUUUUUUUUUUUUUUAAAUCAAAUGCAUGCACCUAUUUUAUCGACAAAUAUAUCAUUUAUAAAUAGUA